AACCCACCCUUUACUCUAUUAAUAACAGGGACAACUGCUAAGCAAUAUGAAAUCGGUAGAUAAGUUUUCACUUACUGUAUAGCGAAGUACACGUAGCUAUAUAUGACAUGAUGAUGGUGAUGAAUAUGCUGCGCAGUAAAAAUGAUGACGAUGAAGGUGAUGAUGACUUUUACUGCGCAGCCGAUGACUGUAUUUUACGUCUUUUCAGACGGCAGUGCCAUUUCCUGGGGCACCUCCUCCACGGUUUCCGAAGGUGUAUCUGUAGUAGUAGGAACUGGCUCUUUUUUGCGAGGCUGCAAAAACAUUGUGAUCGGCAGUUGCUGCCGCUGCUUCUUUUUCUGGUUGAAGAGCAGCUUGUAGGCGGUCAUGACGUCGUCGACCUUGUUGCAAAAUUGGACCGAUCGAACCAUAUCGUCGCUCAGCACCAGCCUUGGAAGAAGGAGCACGUUUGGGAGCCAUUGCAGGGGGUGAAAAUUGAAGCGAAGUUCAACACAAAGAAUCCACAAAAAAAUCACACACAGCACAGUGUAAAGUAAACCGCUCGGCGAGAAAGCUUGAAGCGAAUGACAAGGGGAGAUACUGUGGGAUCUAGGCAUCAGUCAAAGCACCAAUUACAGGCCCGAUUAGAAAGCGGGAAGCUGUGAUUUGUCGUCUCCCUCCCAUGUAACAAUCACAGCCCGUGUUACAACGCACUUAGUCACCGAACUUGUUUUGUUGUUCUUAGACUAGGAAAUACUACUACUA